UACGAAGGGUGCUAGCGUUGUUCGGAAUCACUGGGCGUAAAGCGCGCGUAGGCGGCUUUGCAAGUCAGGGGUGAAAUGCCACAGCUCAACUGUGGAACUGCCUUUGAAACUGCAAAGCUAGAGUGUCGGAGGGGAUAGCGGAAUUCCUAAUGUAGAGGUGAAAUUCGUAGAUAUUAGGAGGAACACCGGUGGCGAAGGCGGCUAUCUGGACGACAACUGACGCUUAGGCGCGAAAGUGCGGGAUCAAACAGG
rnacentral:rRNA from 1 species